AGGCUUGAGGUGGAUCUACAGACUGACCAGUAAAACUUUUCAGAGAAACUGUGUGGAGUGGAAAGAGAAACAACACAGGCAAAAUUCCAGAAUAUUAUUCAGAGGCAGAAGAGGAGCCAGAUUAGGGGUCUGAAAAAGGAACCUCCAAAGAAGUGAGACGAGAAAAAAAAAGUUAAGCCAAAAGAGCAAAGAAGUUCUUAAAAGAAUAUUCUUAACAAUGAAAAAGUCAAAGAGAAAUUGGACAGGGUAAAGACCAAGCCAUGCCCAGCGUACUGUGUAAUACCUAGACACAAUGCGUGACUUCCAGGGAAGGUGGUUUCAUGGAACUGCAGAGACAUGAUUCCUGCUGUACGGGAGCAAAUAAUAAGUGACGGAUGAAGAAGUGGAGUGAAUGCUGCGAGCUUUCUGAUGGAAGAGAGAAAGGGGGGGCCGCUCUCCAUGUAGAAGGGAUAAAACUCAAGACCCUGCUCUUGCCAGGCAGCACUUAUGCCACUGAGCUAAAUCCUCAGUCCUGGGAGAGCCAAAAGAAAAGAAAAACUGGAUCUUACUGUAUCCAAGGCUAGGUUUGAACUCCCAGUGAUGCUUCUGCCUCAACUUCCCAAAAUGCUGAGAUUACAGGCAUGUGCCACCAUGCCUGUUUACCUUUGCUCUUUUAAGGCUAUUUUUACUUUGUUCUCUGGUGGGGCACGUAAAAAUGCUAGUUGAUUAGGUUGCACUGACAUCUGCUGGUAAGAAAGUAAAUUCCGUAAAAAUUGUUACUUGUUUAAAUGGAACAGUCUUUAAAACUCGUAGCUGCAUUCUCAAUUUACCAAAUUAAUAAAUAAGAAUGAUAAUUUCUGGUUCAUAGUUCAGUUUGAUUCUAGUGCAUCUCUCUUUGUUAGUCAGUGGUAUUUAAACAGAAACUUGAUAAAGAGCUAAAAUAUCUUUUAAAUGAUAACCUCUUCCCAUCCAUUACAUCUUCAAGGCCUUUAAAGCUACAAUACUUAUAGUAAUACAUAGUUAGAAUUUACUUUAAGAAAAUUUCUCUGAGGAGAUAAGUUUAGGCUGCAGUUGAGGUGGCAGGCUCUGGGAAUGUUACUUUCAAGGGCAGUGUUUUUAUGUUUUGUUUUGGUUUUUCUUGACAGGAAGUAUAACAUGGCUACUUUACAAUCUAAUAAUUCAUAGAAUUUUAUAAUUGAAAAGAAAUUUAUUAAUCAUUUAGUUUGCCCUCCAUUUUGUAGCUGUGGAAAUUGAGAUGUAGAUAAAUUUAAAUAACUUUUAAC